GAUGAACGCUGGCGGCGUGCCUCAAACAUGCAAGUCGAGCGGGGCUAUGUAAUAUCGCAAGGUAGAACAUAGCCUAGCGGCGAACGGGUGAGUAACACGUGGGUAACCUGCCUGGAAGACAGGGAUAACGAUUCGAAAGGGUCGCUAAUACCUGAUAAUAUCCUUUCAUCGCAUGGUGAUAGGAAGAAAGGGGAAACCCGCUUUCAGAUGGGCCCGCGUCCCAUCAGCUAGUUGGUAAGGUAAAGGCUUACCAAGGCGACGACGGGUAGCCGGUCUGAGAGGAUGUACGGCCACACUGGGACUGAGAUACGGCCCAGACUCCUACGGGAGGCAGCAGUUGGGAAUCUUAAGGCAAUGGACGAAAGUCUGACCUAGCGACGCCGCGUGAGGGAAGAAGGCCUUCGGGUUGUAAACCUCUGUCAUGGGGAAGAAGUAAGUGACGGUACCCCAAGAGGAAGCCCCUGCUAACUACGUGCCAGCCGCCGCGGUAAGAGUACUCUAU
rnacentral:rRNA from 1 species